CCUACGUGGGGCUGCAGUGGGGAAUAUUGGACAAUGGGCGAAAGCCUGAUCCAGCCAUGCCGCGUGUGUGAAGAAGGCCUUCGGGUUGUAAAGCACUUUCAGUGGGGAAGAAAGCCUUGGGGCUAAUACCCUCGAGGAAGGACAUCACCCACAGAAGAAGCACCGGCUAACUCCGUGCCAGCAGCCGCGGUAAUACGGAGGGUGCGAGCGUUAAUCGGAAUUACUGGGCGUAAAGCGCGCGUAGGCGGUCUGAUAAGCCGGUUGUGAAAGCCCCGGGCUCAACCUGGGAACGGCAUCCGGAACUGUCAGGCUAGAGUGCAGGAGAGGAAGGUAGAAUUCCCGGUGUAGCGGUGAAAUGCGUAGAGAUCGGGAGGAAUACCAGUGGCGAAGGCGGCCUUCUGGACUGACACUGACGCUGAGGUGCGAAAGCGUGGGUAGCAAACAGGAUUAGAUACCCUUGUAGUC
rnacentral:rRNA from 1 species